AAAAGCUCGUAGUUGGAUUUCGGGUGGGUUCCUGCGGUCCGCCUAUGGUGAGUACUGCUGUGGCCCUCCUUUCUGUCGGGGACGGGCUCCUGGGCUUCACUGUCCGGGACUUGGAUUCGACGAUGAUACUUUGAGUAAAUUAGAGUGUUCAAAGCAAGCCUACGCUCUGAAUACUUUAGCAUGGAAUAUCGCGAUAGGACUCUGGCCUAUCUCGUUGGUCUGUAGGACCGGAGUAAUGAUUAAGAGGGACAGUCGGGGGCAUUCGUAUUUCAUUGUCAGAGGUGAAAUUCUUGGAUUUAUGAAAGACGAACUACUGCGAAAGCAUUUGCCAAGGAUGUUUUCAUUAAUCAAGAACGAAAGUUGGGGGCUCGAAGACGAUUAGAUACCGUCGUAGUCUCAACCAUAAACGAUGCCGACUAGGGAUUGGAGGAUGUUCUUUUGAUGACUUCUCCAGCACCUUAUGAGAAAUCAAAGUUUUUGGGUUCCGGGGGGAGUAUGGUCGCAAGGCUGAAACUUAAAGGAAUUGACGGAAGGGCACCACCAGGCGUUGAAAACAGCAUACAAAGCUCUAGCGCCUAAAAAGUCAACCUGAAAGGGUAUGGCCUAGUCAAACGCUGGCUCGUCUAAAAGGUGAGAGCUGGCGCUUGGCUACACUGUCGAAUUGCGGGGAAGCUCCUUAACAGCCAAUGCUACCAAGCUGGGGGUGGAAACACAUCCAGUGGCCAGGUUAACAGCCUCGGGUAUGGUAAUAAUGCGUUGGAUUGGACAAUCCGCAGCCAAGCUCCUAAGGGUCCUUCGGUAUCUAUGGAGAAGGUUCAGAGACUAAGUGGCAGUGGGCUGAUUGCUGUUGCAAUCGGCUUAAGAUAGAGUCCGUCCCUACCGAGAGGUAGCUCUGAGAAGAAAGAUUCAACCAAAUCUGGAGCUUAGAGGUCUCGUCAUGUGCAAGCAUGGUGAGUGGAGUGAACGGGAGCCUGCGGCUUAAUUUGACUCAACACGGGAAAACUUACCAGGUCCAGACAUAGUGAGGAUUGACAGAUUGAGAGCUCUUUCUUGAUUCUAUGGGUGAGACAAUGGUAUUUCGAUACCAUAUCACUGCCCAUGAAAGCAGCGUGUCCGGGCUUGAAUCCCCCGGGUAUAAAGCGUGCUGCUAGUCAGAUUUCAUCUGGCGAGACCGUCGAAUUGCGGGGACACCCUUACAGCUGAAGCUACCAAGCCUGGCACUGAAAAGUGCUGGGUGGCCGGGGUAAUGACCCAGGGUAUGGUAACAACGCUUCAGAUUGGGCAAUCCGCAGCCAAGCUCCCUAACUGGUAACGCAGAGGGAGAAGGUUCAGAGACUAAGUGGUGGUCGGUUUCCAGCAAAGUUUGUUGGAGGCUUAAGAUAGAGUCCGUCCGUAUCGAGAGAUACGCCUAGAAUAAACUCCACUAACAGUGGAUGGAGUCUAGGCAGGAGGCAUAUACACAUAUGUUUCUGGGAUACCACGGGUGGUGCAUGGCCGUUCUUAGUUGGUGGGUUGCCUUGUCAGGUUGAUUCCGGUAACGAACGAGACCUCAGCCUGCUAAAUAGUCAUGUUCGCUUUUUGCGGAUAGCCGACUUCUUAGAGGGACUAUUGGCGUUUAGUCAAUGGAAGUAUGAGGCAAUAACAGGUCUGUGAUGCCCUUAGAUGUUCUGGGCCGCACGCGCGCUACACUGACGCAAUCAACAAGCCUAUCCUUGACCGAGAGGUCUGGGUAAUCUUUGAAACUGCGUCGUGAUGGGGAUAGAUUAUUGCAAUUAUUAGUCUUCAACGAGGAAUGCCUAGUAGGCACAAGUCAUCAGCUUGUGCCGAUUACGUCCCUGCCCUUUGUACACACCGCCCGUCGCUCCUACCGAUUGGGUGUGCUGGUGAAGUGUUCGGAUUGGCGAAGCGGGUGGCAACACUUGCUUUUGCCG
rnacentral:rRNA from 1 species